ncrna:unclassified sequences TwoGGAY RNA
UGUUAGAAUUAUGCCAUGAAACACAGAAAUGCCCUGCCAUGGAAGGCAGGGCAAGGCGUUAUGCGCCAUGGACGGCGCAUAAAAGCCGGUUUCGUCAAGCAUAGAAAACAUUAAAGCAUAAUUCUUACA